rnacentral:rRNA from 1 species
GGUUAUGAGAGCCGUGUAAGUACUCAGCGGAGGAGGAGGCGUAAGUAAUUACCUAGUGAUGACGUAACUACAGAAGAAGCACCGGCUAACUCCCGUGCAGCGCCGCGGUAAUACGAAGGGUGCAAGCGUUAAUCCGAAUACUGGGCGGUAAAGCGCACGCAGGGGUCUCAAGUCGGAUGUGAAAUCCCCGGGCUCAACCCUGGGAACUGCAUUCAACUGGCAGGCUAGAGUCUGUAGAGGGGGGUAGAAUUUCAGGUGUAGCGGUGAAAUGCGUAGAGAUCUGGAGGAAUACCUGGCGAAGGCGGCCCCCUGGACAAUGACGCUCAGGUGCGAAAGCGUGGGGAGCAAACAGGAUUAGAUACCCUGGUGUCCACGCCUAAACGAUGUCGACUUGGAGGUUGUGCCCUUGAGGCGUGGCUUCCGGAGCUAACGCGUUAAGUCGACCGCCUGGGGAGUACGGCCGCAAGGUUAAAACUCAAAUGAAUUGACGGGGGCCCGCACAAGCGGUGGAGCAUGUGGUUUUUUGAUGCAACGCGAAGAACCUUACCUACUCUUGACAUCCAGAGAUUAGCAGAGAUGCUUGUGCCUUCGGGAACUCUGAGACAGGUGGCAUGGCUGUCGUCAGCUCGUGUUGUGAAAGUUGGGUUAACCCGCAACGAGCGCAACCCUUAUCCUUUGUUGCCAGCGGUUAGGCCGGGAACUCAAAGGAGACUGCCAGUGAUAAACUGGAGGAAGGUGGGGAUGACGUCAAGUCAUCAUGGCCCUUACGAGUAGGGCUACACACGUGCUACAAUGGCAAUACAAAGAGAAGCGACCUCGCGAGAGCAAGCGGACCUCAUAAAGUAUGUCGUAGUCCGGAUUGGAGUUUGCAACUCGACUCAUGAAGUCGGAAUCGCUAGUAAUCGUAGAUCAGAAUGCUACGGUGAAUACGUUCCCGGGCCUUGUACACACCGCCCGUCACACCAUGGGAGUGGGUUGCAAAAGAAGUACUUAACCUUGGCCGCCUACCACCUUUGU